CACGUAGGGGGCAAGCGUUGUCCGGAUUUAUUGGGCGUAAAGAGCUCGUAGGCGGCUUGUCGCGUCGGAUGUGAAAGCCCGGGGCUUAACUCCGGGUCUGCAUUCGAUACGGGCAGGCUAGAGUUCGGUAGGGGAGACUGGAAUUCCUGGUGUAGCGGUGAAAUGCGCAGAUAUCAGGAGGAACACCGGUGGCGAAGGCGGGUCCCUGGGCCGAUACUGACGCUGAGGAGCGAAAGCGUGGGGAGCGAACAGG
rnacentral:rRNA from 1 species